CGGGGAAGCGUCAGAAUAAUAACUAUUGAAAUGGCGACCGGCGGACCCAAUGCUCCCGGUAAAGUGGGGGUAGAGGAAGAGAAGUUUAAUAGAGCCAUAAAGGCGCUGAAAAAGUCGCACGGACAUUAUACCAAUUCGCCUCGAAUAUGGGAGAAAAAAAUUUGCAAACUGGAUCAAAUUGGUCAGCAUUUCCCGGCUAACGAAAAAUUCCAAUCUAAUAGAGAAUUCAGGGAGGCAAUUGUGACUUGGCACAAUGACAAAACCAGAAUCAAAAGCUCAAUGUACCAUUGUUUUGAUGUCUGCAUUCUAUCAACAAAAAAUACAAACCGAUAAACCCAGAAUUAGUGGAUGUACUCAGCUACAGAAGGACUGGGUACGUAAGUACAUUGAUAGAAUUUGUACAUUGGCUUUGAUGUCAGGUUUGAAACCUGUGAUCAAAACAGCAAUUGCGGUGGUAGUGGAUGAAAUAGAGCAGAAAGCUAAUUCCGCAGAUGUACGAGUGGUUAAUGCAGCCAGAGUGAAAGUCAUUAACAGUGGUUUCAAUGGCCCAAGUAAGACAAGGAAAUGGGGAGGAAAGGGGAAAUCAAGAGUCCUGUUUUAGGUGUGGGGCUGUUGGUCAUUGGAAAAGGGAGUGUAAGGUAGGAAUGGAGCCCUGUGCAUUCGGGAGGGAUACUGCGAUGCAAAAAUGUGCAUCUUUGUCAAAACAAAAGUAACAUCCUUUUUGAAAACAGCGGGACAGGAAGAUGUUACAUAGCAGUGAAUGGCCUCGGUUGGAUUGAUAGUGGUUCAUAGACAUUACAGUUUCUAUGUGAAGUGAGACGUAGGAGCCCACGUCUCAAGCAACUUUUUAAUAGAUGCCAGGGAUCAAAUAUCGCGGAUUCCUUAUGAUGAGAAAUUGGCUAACAUUGCCAUAGGAAAAAGUAUUUUGGGUUGAAGAAUCUAUGCGAAAUUUCAAGGGAAUGGAUUCUAAAGAGGUAAAAAAAUAUUAUCUGGCCAAACACUCCUUGCCAACUCAGAAAAGCUUGGGGGGGGGGGUUUAAUCUCGUGAGACGUUUUAUUAUGAAUUUACAUUUUGUCGUCUUAUUCUGAAAUUGAUUUAUAGAAGGGACGAACGGGAGGAGGGGUCACCAAACCUAAAAUGAACUUUUUUGUUGUUCAUGAACAUUGUGGUGCUGUGGUUAUGGAGAAUCAUGGGGAAAAGAGAGCAGUGACUCGUUAGACUCGGUGGCGGGAUAAUGUCGCAGUGUCUAAGGGUAGUACGUGCCAAAUAAAGGAUAAAUAAACGAUGGGGUAGAUUAAAACAAAUGUAAUGAUUGGAGUAAGGACAGUGGAUUUACCAUUAUCAUGUUUGGUUUAUUAUUAUUAAUACUUUUGGAUUGCUGAUCAAAAUGUACACUUUCUUUUCCAUGAAAAUGAGGGGGGUUCAUUAUCUCCCUUUGGAAUGUUCCCCGAGACUGUGGUAUUGGGGAGAGCAGUUAGUGAUAUUUGGCCGUUUUAAGUAUAAAAGUAUCUGGAUUAGGCCAUAAACGGAGUUGCCAGAUAAGGCCUGACCACGUGUGUGUUUUUGACUUCCGGUUUACCACACACACAUCAGCACGCACACACAAUUUAUCAGUUGUGAAUAUGGGUUAGUGGUGUUGAUACCGUGGGAUUUAUUGUGAGGGGUCUUUACAACUUGGUUUUAAAUUGGGUAUGCAGAAGGAUGGAAAUGUUUGAAAUGUUUUUAAAUGGUUUCUGAAGGACAGGGAAAGAAAAGGGAAAGGAAAUUCUUAAUGGUGUUGAAUGACCUGUGUCCUGACUUUCUGGUGAAGCCUGAUCAACCUCACUAGAAAUGAUCGAGACAGGUGGGAUUUAAUUAUAAUAUGAAUGAGAGACACCAUUCUCCAGUCUAUUUUACUAUUACCUUAUGGCAUUAUCAAGAGUUGUAAUUCUAAGUUGCUUGGUUAUUCAGAUUUGUUUAUUUAACAUGCAGUGUUGUUUGUUUUUGAAUCACGAUGUGAAUCAUGUGUUCAAAGGGGAAAUGACCAGUUCCCUGGGGCCCUGGUCCUUGGAUUGGAUCUGCUGGAUUGUUGGGAUUCCCCCCAUGAGUUAGAGUGCUAACUCCCUGAUCUGGUAACUCUUCUGAGAAGUCGCCAGUAAAAUAAGACAAUGACCCAACACACCUCCAGGCUGUGUAAGGGCUAUUUGACCAAGAAGGAGAGUGAUGGAGUGCUGCAUCAGAUGACCUAGCCUCCACAAUUACCUGACCUCAAUCCAAUUGAUAUGGUUUGGGAUGAGGUGGACUGCAGAGAGAAGGAAAAGCAGCCAACAAGUGUUCAGCAUAUGUGGGAACUCCUUCAAGACUGUUGGAAAAGCAUUCCAGGUGAAACUGGUUGGGAGAAUACCAAGAGAGCAAAGCUGUCAUCAAGGCAAAGAAUGGCUACUUUGAAGAACCCAAUAUAUAAAAUAUGAUUUGAUUUAUUUAACUUUUUUGGUUACUACAUGAUUCCAUAUGUGUAUUCCAUAGUUUGUCUUCUGUCUCAGCCUCCAGUAUUUAUGCUGCAGUAGUUUGUGUCGGGGGGCUAGGGUCAGUCUGUUACAUCUGGAGUAUUUCUCUUGUCUUAUCCGGUGUCCUGUGUGAAUUUAAAUAUGCUCUCUCUAAUUCUCUCUUUCUGUCUUUCUCUCGGAGGACCUGAGCCCUAGGACCAUGCCUCAGGACUACCUGGUAUGAUGACUCCUUGCUGUCCCCAGUCCACCUGGCCGUGCUGCUGCUCCAGUUUCAACUGUUCUGCCUGCGGCUAUGGAACCCAGACCUGUUCACCAGACGUGCUUGUUGCACCCUCGACAACUACUAUGAUUAUUAUUAUUUGACCAUGCUGGUCAUUUAUGAACAUUUUAACAUUUUAACAUUUUGACCAUGUUCUGUUAAUAUCCACCCUGCACAGCCAGAAGAGGACUGGCCACCCCUCAUAGCCUGGUUCCUCUCUAGGUUUCUUCCUAGGUUUUUGGCCUUUCUAGGGAGUUUUUCCUAGGGAGUUUUUCCUAGCCACCGUGCUUCUUUCACAUGCUUUGCUUGCUGUUUGGGGUUUUAGGCUGGGUUUCUGUACAGCACUUUGAGAAUAUCAGCUGAUGUACGAAGGGCUAUAUAAAAAUAAAUUUGAUUUGAUUUGAUUCACUAUUAUUCUACAAUGUAGAAAAUAGUAAAAAUAAAGAAAAACCCUUAAAUGAGUAGGUGUGUCCAAACUUUUGACUGGAACUGUAUAAAUAUGUGUAUGUAUAGCUCAAUCGUCUUGUUUUAGGGGUCUCAUGUUCUUGGUUUAAAAAAAUGAAACAAGUGGGGUUUGUGAUGUUGAGCUCAGUGUUGUGUGCGGGGGCAGUUCAGUGGAAUUAGUGACUUGACCAGAGACCAACCACAUUUUUGCUCAGUUGGGUGGGAUUUCCUGUUUUGUGACAGUUUACUUCUCUUCUCUGUCAUGAAAAUGCUAAUACCAGAAAGUGUCUAGAAGAUCACACAUUGACCUUUUGUACAUGGCAGUAUUAUUGCCAGAAAAUUGUAAUUUAACUCUCAAUGUUGGUUCAUCAGAAUUUUGUUUUGCUCAUCCACCAUAGUGUAACUUAAAAACAGUUAAAUCUGGGGUAAAUAUUGCAAUAAUUUACUACCAAGUGUUGGUGAGAAUCCUAGCUGAUAUUGGAG
rnacentral:lncRNA from 1 species